rnacentral:rRNA from 1 species
UUUGGUGGCCAUAGCACAAGUGAAACACCCGGUCCCUUCCCGAACCCGGCCGUUAAGCACUGUUGCGCUGAUGGUACUGCAUCUUAAGGUGUGGGAGAGUAAGUCACCGCCAAAC